UGCAGAUGUGGCGGAAUUGGCAGACGCACUAGACUUAGGAUCUAGCGCCAAUUGGUGUAAGGGUUCGACUCCCUUCAUCUGCACCAU
rnacentral:tRNA from 2 species